UACGGAGGGUGCAAGCGUUAUCCGGAUUCACUGGGUUUAAAGGGUGCGUAGGAGGGCAGGUAAGUCAGUGGUGAAAUCUCCGAGCUUAACUUGGAACUGCCGUUGAUACUAUCUGUCUUGAAUAUUGUGGAGGUGAGCGGAAUAUGUCAUGUAGCGGUGAAAUGCUUAGAUAUGACAUAGAACACCAAUUGCGAAGGCAGCUCGCUACACAUAUAUUGACUCUGAGGCACGAGAGCGUGGGGGAUCAAACAGG
rnacentral:rRNA from 1 species